rnacentral:rRNA from 1 species
CCUACGGGGUGCAGCAGUGAGGAAUCUUGGUCAAUGGCCGGAAGGCUGAACCAGCCAUGCCGCGUGAAGGUCAGUGCCCUAUGGGCGUUAAACUUCUUUUGUGCGGGAGCAAUAAUGGUCACGUGUGGCCAGACGAGAGUACCGUACGAAUAAGCAUCGGCUAACUCCGUGCCAGGAGCCGCGGUAAUACGGGGGAUGCAAGCGUUAUCGGGAUUUGUGGGGUUUAAAGGGUGCGUAGGCUGGGAGGUAAGUCAGCGGUGAAAUGCCCCCGCUCAACGGGGUGAAGUGCCAUUGAUACUGCCUUGCUGGAGUGCGGAUGACGUGGGAGGAAUGUGUGGUGUAGCGGUGAAAUGCAUAGAUAUCACACAGAACACCGAUUGCGAAGGCUUCUCACGAAUCCGCGAUUGACGCUGAUGCACGAAAGCGUGGGUAUCAAACAGGAUUAGAUACCCCAGUAGUC